rnacentral:misc_RNA from 1 species
UUCGAUCAUGGCUCAGAUUGAACGCUGGCGGGAUGCUUUACACAUGCAAGUCGAACGGCAGCACGGACUUCGGUCUGGUGGCGAGUGGCGAACGGGUGGUAAUGUAUCCGGAACGUGCCUAGUAGCGGGGGAUAACUACGCGAAAGCGUAGCUAAUACCGCGCCCUUCGGGGAAAGCGGGGGACCUUCGAAUUUGCACUCGCACUAUUAGAGCGGCCGAUAUCGGAUUAGCUGGUUGGUGGGGUAACGGCUCACCAAGGCGACGAUCCGUAGCUGGUUUGAGAGGACGACCAGCCACACUGGGAUUGAGACACGGCCCAGACCGAAGUCCGUGCUGCCGUUCGACUUGCAUGUGUAAAGCAUCCCGCCAGCGUUCAAUCUGAGCCAUGAUCGAACC